rnacentral:lncRNA from 1 species
UUGUAAUUCAAGCAAGCUAAGGUAAGGAUUUCUGUGUUUUCAGUUCAUGGUCUGUUAAAUCCUUGGAAAAAAAAUGAGUGAAUCAUUUUUUGGUAGCUAUGGUGGCCAUGGGUGUGAGGGAAUUAUGAAUUUUGUUGGGUGAAAUCCAAGCUAAAACCAAGUGGUAAGCUUCAUGCUAUAAUUUAAAGCCUAUGAUUGGUUUACUAUGGUGAUAAUGAUUGUGUGCAAUAUGUAGCGCUAUUUUGGUGUCAUGGGUAUGAUUGGAAGGUAAUUAUAUUAAUUGGAAAUUUGGAAAAGUAAUGAAUUGUGUGGAUAUAUGUGUUGUUAGGAAAAGCUUAAAAGGGUUAUGGAUGUUGCUGCGUAUGAAUGGAUAUUGAUGUUAUACUUGGUGGCAACAUGUAAAUGAAAAUAGUGUUACAUGUAAACUUAGAAAGUGUUUGAUGGAAGGAAAUUUGUAGUUGCUGCCAUAUGUUAGCUAAUUAUUGUGGAAAUGAUGGUUAAACUUGAUAAAUAUCCUUAGACAAGGUUAAUAUAUGUGUUAGAGUUAUAAACAAGUUGCCAGUAUCCAUAAUCUAAAGAAUAACGCAAGUAAAGGAUAAAGACAACUUUGGUAAAAAUGUGUCAAGAUAUAAGUUAGUUGAAUAAGGAUUCAUGAUGGAAGGAGAAAGAAAAGUAGGAAUGAUGUACACUAAAGGUAUUGCAUUUGUAUGGUUGCUAGGAAGUGCAAAGGUAAAGUUAGAGUACUGUGGUGGUGUGUCGAGGAAAAUAACGAGCGACCAGCAAGUAGGAAUAGCUAGAUACACCUCCAAACAAAUAGCAAUGUAAUGUCCCGCUAUCGUAAGGUAAGUGAACUUGCAUUAAAAUGUUUUGGGAUAUACACAUUUAUGUUUGAUUGAAUCCCCUAAAACGUUUUAUUGGUUUUUCUUCAAAAACUCGCAUGGGAAUAAGCCCUUAUGAAAUGUUUUUAUGCUAUGAAAUGGAUAAGGUGAUGAAUCCAUGUGUUUCUGUAUAAUAUUGAUAUCUAUAUAUAUACUAUAUCAUAACUGGUACAUUGUGUGACAAAAUGCAACCGUGCAUGUGCGGGGUGAGUGUGCACCUGCCACUGAUGAUGGUGGUGAAGGAGAUGGAUGGUGAUAUUGCCUAUGUGCACUAUGUGGGGGGAUGCACACGAUGGAAUUAGCUGUGCAUGAUGUGGGAGGAUGCACACAAUGAUGAUAUCGCUUGUGCACGAUGUAAGGGGAUGCAUAAAGCGAUAAUAUUGCUUGUGCACGAUGUGGGGGGAUGCACACGAUGACUUCGGCUAUGUGCACGAUGUGGGGGGAUGCACAUGAGCUGGGUGAGAUGGUGGUGUAUGUGCUUAUAUAUAUACAUAUUUACUAUAUAGAGAUGUUUGGAUUUAAUAUGUGAUUGCGUUGACUGUUGAAAACUUGAGUAUUGUCAAUGUGUUCAAUUUAAUGUGCAAUGUGGCAUGAAUGGAUUUUUUCGGUGGCAGUGAAAGCCCCUUGGGUUUUAUUUGGCCAGAAUUUCAUUGUAGCGNCAUGAAUGGAUUUUUCGGUGGCAGUGAAAGCCCCUUGGGUUUUAUUUGGCCAGAAUUUCAUUGUAGCGAGAUUGCCUUUUGGCUGCGGUGAGAGUCAAUCUAUUAUGCUUGACUUGCUUGAAUUCUACUAAAGUUUUCACUUUUCAACUUCUUUAUUAUUCAUGGGUCUUUCGUCAUCAAGUGACUAAAUGACAAGGAUUUGAAUGAGGGGUUUUUUGAUAAGAAAUAAGCUAAAUUGCAUUGUUUUUGGAACCUAAGUACAUCAUGAUUUCUAAACCUUCCUUAACGUUUGCUUGUUCCCUUCCUAUGUUUACUCACUAAGUUUGUACUUACGUUUUUAAAAUUCAUGUUUUAGGUUUCCUGAGUUAGAGGUGAUUGGAUCCUAGGAUGAGGUGCUCCUCCCUAUCCAUUGCUCGGUAGGUUUAACAUGACACUAAAUGUUAGCAAUUGUGCCCAUAGUCACUCCGUUGAUGGUCAAGGUCUAAUUAUGUGUAUAUGAAU